GCGCAUUGCGACUCUCUCUGGUGCUAGAAGCUGGUUGUCUGGAUAAUUAACACCAGCUUUGUUUCUGACAACCAGCUUUUAGGACGAGAGAAAGUCUCUUAAACGC